rnacentral:rRNA from 1 species
UACGUAGGGUGCAAGCGUUGUCCGGAUUCAUUGGGCGUAAAGAGCUCGUAGGCGGCUUUGUAAGUCGGGUGUGAAAACCCCAGGCUCAACCUGGGGACGCCACUCGAUACUGCAAUAGCUAGAGUCUGGUAGGGGAUCACGGAAUUCCUGGUGUAGCGGUGAAAUGCGCAGAUAUCAGGAGGAACACUCGUGGCGAAGGCGGCCAGCUAGACCAGUUCUGACACUGAGGCGCGAUAGCGUGGGGAGCAAACAGG